UACGAAGGGAGCUAGCGUUGUUCGGAAUCACUGGGCGUAAAGCGCACGUAGGCGGACGUGUCAGUCAGGGGUGAAAUCCCGGAGCUCAACUUCGGAACUGCCUUUGAUACAGCACGUCUUGAGUCCGGAAGAGGUGGGUCGAAUUCCUAGUGUAGAGGUGAAAUUCGUAGAUAUUAGGAAGAACACCGGUGGCGAAGGCGGCCCACUGGUCCGGUACUGACGCUGAGGUGCGAAAGCGUGGGGAGCAAACAGG
rnacentral:rRNA from 1 species